AUUGAACGCUAGCGGGAUGCUUUACACAUGCCAGUCGAACGGCAGCGCGGACUUCGGUCUGGCGGCGAGUGGCGAACGGGUGAGUAAUGUAUCGGAACGUGCCCAGUAGCGGGGGAUAACUACGCGAAAGCGUAGCUAAUACCGCAUACGCCCUACGGGGGAAAGCAGGGGAUCGUAAGACCUUGCACUAUUGGAGCGGCCGAUAUCGGAUUAGCUAGUUGGUGAGGUAACGGCUCACCAAGGCGACGAUCCGUAGCUGGUUUGAGAGGACGACCAGCCACACUGGGACUGAGACACGGCCCAGACUCCUACGGGAGGCAGCAGUGGGGAAUUUUGGACAAUGGGGGCAACCUUGAUCCAGCCAUCCCGCGUGUGCGAUGAAGGCCUUCGGGUUGUAAAGCACUUUUGGCAGGAAAGAAACGUCGCGGGCUAAUACCCCGUGGAACUGACGGUACCUGCAGAAUAAGCACCGGCUAACUACGUG
rnacentral:rRNA from 1 species